UACGGGGGGGGCAAGCGUUGUUCGGAAUUACUGGGCGUAAAGGGCUCGUAGGCGGCCAACUAAGUCAGACGUGAAAUCCCAAAGCUUAACUUUGGAACUGCGUCUGAUACUGGACGGCUAGAGUAUGGGAGAGGGAUGUAGAAUUCCAGGUGUAGCGGUGAAAUGCGUAGAUAUCUGGAGGAAUACCGGUGGCGAAGGCGGCAUCCUGGACCAUUACUGACGCUGAGGCGCGAAAGCUAGGGGAGCAAACGGG
rnacentral:rRNA from 1 species